rnacentral:lncRNA from 1 species
CAUUUCUUCAUAUAUGACGAGCCGACCGAAGUAUUGUCUACACGUUCGUUUGUCUUAGGAAGCUUAAGGUCAAAGUCUGGGGGGAUCCUGUACCAAACUCGCAUCUAACUCAAGUCAUCCAGAUUCAGUAUAGAGCUAUAGCCACUGGGACCAAGCUCGCUUUGCUUGGCCAUUCCCAAACCAAAGAACUAGAAUGCUAACUAAGGAAAGAAAGGAGGAAUGGAAAGGUAGAUGGAUGAGAAAGAAAACUCACCUGAGAAUGAAAAAGGAGGC